UCUCCCCAGGUUAGUUCUAAACAAACAAGGCGAGCGCCUCUCCCUUGUGGUGAGGGAGGGCCUGGGGCAGAGUGCUUGCAUGCGUUCCAUCAGCUGGCCUCAUCAGCUGGGCUGAUGUUCCCUGCUGCAGCUCUGACCUGUGGCCACUCCCCACCACUGUGACCUCUUUGUCAAGGCCAAAAGCAAGAAACAAGUCCUGUUGUUCUCUUCUCACAGAGCAGAUGUGAAACACUGCAUCCCAAUGAUUGCGUCUAAGGUACCAGGCCAGCUGCCCCAGGUGCUGAACAUAGAGAUGACUGGCAACUUCUGCAUGUCAUCUUAUUCCACCCAAAAGGCAGAGUUACAGAGAGAGGAAGAGACAAAGAGCAGGAGAUCUUCCAUCUGCUGGUUCACUCCCCAACUGGCCACAGUAGCCAUGGCUGGGCCCUACCAAAGCCAGGGGCUUGGAACUUUAUCUGUGUCUCCCAUGUGGACUUCAGGAGCCCAAGCACUUGGGCCAUCUUCCACUGCUUUCCCAGGCCAUUAGCAGGGAGCUCGAUCAGAAGUGGAGCAGCUGGGACUUGAACUGGAGCUCAUAUGGCAUGCUGGCAUCAAAGGUGGCAGCUCAACCUGCUGUACCACAAGGCUGGCCCCUGGCUGAGCAGUAUUAAGAGCCAGGCCACAUCCAUGGUAAAAUGGGGAAGGGAUACAAUCGCUGGGUACUCCGUGAGUUGGUGUUUGUAAAGCGUUUGGUGAACAUCGACUCCUGCUUUUAGGCAGGGAGAAGAAAGAGGCAAGACUGAAGAUUGGUCCUGCAUCCAAACAAGAGGUAAAUUUCCUCCAGCCCUUCCUCUGCUUUGGGAAAAGGAAAAAUAGAAAUAGUACAGAAAAUAUGGAUAAUUUCACUAUAUAAAAAUGUUUCUACAUAUUAAAGAUUUUAGAUAUUUCAAUUAUGGUUUUGACUCAGUUGUAAUGACUUCCUAGUAACAGCUUUCCUACAUAAAUAAGAUAAUAAAAAUGGAAAAAAAGAAAAAGGAAAGAAGCCAUGGGGGUUCUUUGUAGCUAUUUGUGUCUCCUUGUAAAUGCCCAGAGCCUAAAACAGACCUCUACUGUGGAUGCUGACAACAACUCAAUACUCUGCAACCUCUGACAAAUACAAAUGCAGAAAAAAGCAGCGAAGAGGCCAGGACAGCGAAAGUAGUCGUGGGCAUAGAACCAACAAGAAGGCACGGCGGGAGCUGACGGCGGCCUGGCAGGCAAGACACCGGUGAGCAAGCGCAGAGUUCCUGGGUUCAGUGUCUCACCCCAGCUCCCUGCCCAUGCAGGCCCUGUGAGGCCACAGCUACGGCUCCAGUCAUGGGCUUCCUGCCAUCCUUGUGCGAGACCUGGGCUGAGUUCCAGGCUGCCAGCCGUGGCCCAGCCCAGUUCCAGCUGUUAUGGGCAUUUGGGGAGUGACCCUGGCUGAUGGGAGCUCUCUCUGUCUCUGUCUCCCAAGUAAAUGCAUUAAAAUAAUAAUAAUAAUAAUAAUAAUAAAGAAAGAAAGAAAGAAAGAAAAGAAGAAAUCAGUUCACAAGUGACUUAGCAUCUAGGAGAACUCACUGCCCGUCCGGAAUAAUUUCUCACCAUCUUUAGAGAAGUCUGGCCAGGAAGGAGUAAGAAAUGAAAGUCCUCGAGGGCAGGCUGGGGACAAGGACUCCUUGAGGGAGCACUGAGCCUGGCCAGCUCUGUCUAGUUUUAUGAUCUCAUGAAACACGAACUCCAAGGAGGUGCAGUCCGGAGCGGUUAAUGAAAUGCUGAUUGGGAAAAUGAAAGGACAAAGCCUGAAGAAGUGCCAUAACUCAUUCAGCGGUGCCGUUCCUCCCCCUCCCCCGACUGGUGGCUGAGUCAUCGCCAAAGACAGCACAGCCCUUGAGCUGUGGCUGGAAAUAAAGAGCCAAGAUUAGCUUCGGCGCAGAGACCUGGGGCACUGGACACGGGGCAGAACUUUCGAAGCAUUCGAUGAAAGCCAAACCAGACUCAAGAAAGCCAAGAGAUAAGAAGGGAGUGGAGGGAAUUGGGGGGGGGGGCUCUCCCUGCCACCCCUCCCCUCCCCUCUUCUGGGCUGUCACAGCAUGAAAACGCAAGCUGGCUGGUGGGUGGUUUUCGUUGUAAACAGUCAGCUCUAAACAAACACCUCAAUUCGUUAAGCAGUCCGCCGAGGGGGAUGAUCCGUUUUGACUCAUGCUGCCUAGGUGGCGGAAAUCCCACUGAAAACUGCGGGAGGAAUUCGGUGAGACUGAACUCCUCAGGUGUCUGCGGCAAUGGGUGGGAAGAGGUCGUGAUUCAUGGCGCGACUGAGAUAAGUGGCUCCCGCCUGUGUGCAUGCCAAGUGGUCCAGAGUCCGCGUGCUGAAGUCAUUCCCCAACAGGAAGUGCCUGGCAGUAAACAGAAAGUACUCCCGGGCACGGCUCCCCGGCUGCGACUCUCGCCCAGUGCUGGAGCGCAGGGCCUCAGUCCGAGCACAGAGACCGGGGAUUGUACAGCAAGAGGCAGAAGACAAAUGGCAUCCUAGCAGGGCAGGAGGCGGCCUCUUGAGCCCAAUGGCUGGAGCUUCGUUGUUUGAGCUACAAAAGGAGACAGUAGGCUGGCAUCCCACAUCUAGUCCCGGCUGCUCCUCUUCCAAUCCAGCUCUCUGCAGUAGCCUGAGAAAGCAGUAGAAGAUGGCCCAAGCACUUGGGCCCCUGCACCAGUCUGGGAAACCUGGAAGAAGCUCUUGGCUUCAGAUCGGCCCAGCUCCAGUCGUUGCAGCCAUUUGGGGAAUGAACCAGUGGAUGGAGGAUAUUUCUCUGUGUUUCUCCCUCUCUGUCUGUAACUCUGCCUCUCAAAUAAAUAAAUAAAA